CCUACGGGCGGCAGCAGUGAGGAAUAUUGGUCAAUGGACGAGAGUCUGAACCAGCCAAGUAGCGUGAAGGAUGACUGCCCUAUGGGUUGUAAACUUCUUUUAUAUGGGAAUAAAAUGUUCCACGUGUGGGAUUUUGUAUGUACCAUAUGAAUAAGGAUCGGCUAACUCCGUGCCAGCAGCCGCGGUAAUACGGAGGAUCCGAGCGUUAUCCGGAUUUAUUGGGUUUAAAGGGAGCGUAGGUGGAUUGUUAAGUCAGUUGUGAAAGUUUGCGGCUCAACCGUAAAAUUGCAGUUGAAACUGGCAGUCUUGAGUACAGUAGAGGUGGGCGGAAUUCGUGGUGUAGUGGUGAAAUGCUUAGAUAUCACGAAGAACUCCGAUUGCGAAGGCAGUUCACUGGACUGCAACUGACACUGAGGCUCGAAAGUGUGGGUAUCAAACAGGAUUAGAUACCCAGUAGUC
rnacentral:rRNA from 1 species